AUACGGAGGGUGCAAGCGUUAAUCGGAAUUACUGGGCGUAAAGCGUACGUAGGCGGUUAUUUAAGUCAGAUGUGAAAGCCCCGGGCUUAACUUGGGAACUGCAUUUGAAACUGGGUAACUAGAGUUUAGUAGAGGGGAGUGGAAUCUCAGGUGUAGCGGUGAAAUGCGUAGAGAUCUGAAGGAACACCAGUGGCGAAGGCGACUCCCUGGACUAAAACUGACGCUGAGGUACGAAAGCGUGGGUAGCAAACAGGAUUAGAAACCCUAGUAGUCC
rnacentral:rRNA from 1 species